rnacentral:rRNA from 1 species
AAUAUUGCGCAAUGGAGGAAACUCUGACGCAGCGACGCCGCGUGAGCGAUGAAGGCCUNCGGAACNUNAAGUUCUGUCCUUGGGGNCGAAGAUCGAAAGAUUUGACGGUACCCGAGGAGGAAGUCCUGGCUAACUACGUGCCAGCAGCAGCGGUAAUAUGUAGGGGGCAAGCGUUGUCCGGAAUUAUUGGGCGUAAAGGGUGCGUAGGCGGCUUUUUAAGUCAGAUGUGAAAGACCACGGCUUAACCGUGGGGUUGCAUUUGAAACUGGAAGGCUUGAGUAUCGGAGAGGGUAGUGGAAUUCCCAGUGUAGCGGUGGAAUGCGUAGAUAUUGGGAGGAACACCAGUGGCGAAGGCGACUACCUGGACGAAAACUGACGCUGAGGCACGAAAGCUAGGGGAGCAAACA